GAUGAACGCUGGCGGCGUGCCUAAUACAUGCAAGUCGAGCGAACAGACGAGGAGCUUGCUCCUCUGUCGUUAGCGGCGGACGGGUGAGUAACACGUGGAUAACCUACCUAUAAGACUGGGAUAACUUCGGGAAACCGGAGCUAAUACCGGAUAAUAUAUUGAACCGCAUGGUUCAAUAGUGAAAGACGGUUUUGCUGUCACUUAUAGAUGGAUCCGCGCCGCAUUAGCUAGUUGGUAAGGUAACGGCUUACCAAGGCAACGAUGCGUAGCCGACCUGAGAGGGUGAUCGGCCACACUGGAACUGAGACACGGUCCAGACUCCUACGGGAGGCAGCAGUAGGGAAUCUUCCGCAAUGGGCGAAAGCCUGACGGAGCAACGCCGCGUGAGUGAUGAAGGUCUUCGGAUCGUAAAACUCUGUUAUUAGGGAAGAACAAAUGUGUAAGUAACUAUGCACGUCUUGACGGUACCUAAUCAGAAAGCCACGGCUAACUACGU
rnacentral:rRNA from 1 species